CCUACGGGAGGCAGCAGUGAGGAAUAUUGGUCAAUGGGCGGGAGCCUGAACCAGCCAAGCCGCGUGAGGGAAGAAGGUACAGCGUAUCGUAAACCUCUUUUGUCAGGGAACAAAGGCGGGGACUAGUCCCCGGAUGAGGGUACCUGAAGAAAAAGCAUCGGCUAACUCCGUGCCAGCAGCCGCGGUAAUACGGGGGAUGCGAGCGUUAACCGGAUUUAUUGGGUUUAAGGGGUGCGCAGGCGGCCUGUUAAGUCAGCGGUAAAAGCCCGGGGCUCAACCCCGGCGAGCCGUUGAAACUGGCUGGCUUGAGUUGGAGAGAGGUACGCGGAAUGCGCGGUGUAGCGGUGAAAUGCUUAGAUAUCGCGCAGAACCCCGAUUGCGAAGGCAGCAUACCGGCUCCACACUGACGCUGAGGCACGAAAGCGUGGGUAUCGAACAGGAUUAGAUACCCUAGUAGUC
rnacentral:rRNA from 1 species